rnacentral:tRNA from 1 species
GAUUUCGUAGCUCAAGUGGUUUAGAGUAUCGGUCUGAUACACCGAAGGUUGAAGGUUCGAGUCCUUCCGGAAUUACAA